CCUACGGGCGGCAGCAGUGAGGAAUAUUGGUCAAUGGACGAGAGUCUGAACCAGCCAAGUAGCGUGAAGGAUGACUGCCCUAUGGGUUGUAAACUUCUUUUAUAUGGGAAUAAAAUGUUCCACGUGUGGGAUUUUGUAUGUACCAUAUGAAUAAGGAUCGGCUAACUCCGUGCCAGCAGCCGCGGUAAUACGGAGGAUCCGAGCGUUAUCCGGAUUUAUUGGGUUUAAAGGGAGCGUAGGUGGAUUGUUAAGUCAGUUGUGAAAGUUUGCGGCUCAACCGUAAAAUUGCAGUUGAAACUGGCAGUCUUGAGUACAGUAGAGGUGGGCGGAAUUCGUGGUGUAGCGGUGAAAUGCUUAGAUAUCACGAAGAACUUCGAUUGCGAAGGCAGUUCACUGGACUGCAACUGACACUGAGGCUCGAAAGUGUGGGUAUCAAACAGGAUUAGAUACCCCAGUAGUC
rnacentral:rRNA from 1 species